UACAGGGGGGGCAAGCGUUGUUCGGAAUUACUGGGCGUAAAGGGCUCGUAGGCGGCCAACUAAGUCCGACGUGAAAUCCCCAGGCUUAACCUGGGAACUGCGUCGGAUACUGGUUGGCUUGAAUUCGGGAGAGGGAUGCAGAAUUCCAGGUGUAGCGGUGAAAUGCGUAGAUAUCAGGAGGAACACCGGUGGCGAAGGCGGUUCUCUGGGCAUGUCCUGACGGCUGAGGAGCGAAAGUGUGGGGAGCGAACAGG
rnacentral:rRNA from 1 species